GAUUUCUGGGCAUCAGUUUCUGGCCGGCCACGGUUUCGUGUGUUAGUGCUUGAAACUUUGUCCAUCCUUCCAAUUACUAAUUCUUAUUGAUCUUCAUUGAUUGAUAAGUAGUAUUGGAUCUUUUACUUUGAAAAAAUUAGAGUGUUUCAAGCAGGCUUUAUGCUAUGAAUACAUUAGCAUGGAAUAAUAAUUUAGGACUUCGGUUCUAUUUUGUUGGUUUCUAGGACUGAAGUAAUGAUUGAUAGGGAUAGUUGGGGGUGCUAGUAUUCAGCGGCCAGAGGUGAAAUUCUCGGAUUCGCUGAAGACUAACUUAUGCGAAAGCAUU
rnacentral:rRNA from 3 species